GCCCCAACAGCACAAUGGUUAAGCAUUCGGCUGUUAACCAAAAAGUUGGUGGUUUGAACCCACCCAGUGGCU
rnacentral:tRNA from 1 species